rnacentral:lncRNA from 12 species
CCAUGGACUCUGCCCCUGCGGGGGGUCACUCGGGUGGGGGAGGGGCAUUGGGGACACCUGGGGGUCACUCGGAUUUUGGGGUUCCCCCCCUUGGGGUCACUCUGGGGUCACUCUGGGGGGGUCACUUGGACAUUGGGGCCCCCCCCCCCCCCCCAACUUUGGAGACAUUGGGGUCACCCCUGUGGUCACUGGGGUCACUCUGGGGUCACCCUGUGGUCACUGGGGUCACUCUGGGGUCACCCUGUGGUCACUCAGACACUGGGGACAUUCCAGGGGUCACCCUGGGGGUCAUUCGGACAUCAGGGACGUCCCUGUGGUCACUCAGAUUUUGGGGUCCCCCCUCUUUGGGUCACUCUGGGGAUCACUCUGGGGUCACCUGGGGGUCACUCAGACACUGGGGACACCCCUGUGGUCACUCUGGGGUCACCUGGGGGUCACUCAGACACUGGGGACACCCCUGUGGUCACUCUGGGGUCACCUGGGGGUCACUCAGACACUGGGGACACCCUGUGGUCACUCUGGGGACCCCCCAGGGUCACUCAGAUUUUGGGGUUCCCCUCCUUGGGUCACUUUGGGGACACUGGGGACACCCUGGAGGUCAUUCAAAUUUCGGGGACACCCCUGUGGUCACUCGGGUCACCCUGUGGUCACUCGGGUCACCCUGUGGUCACCCUGUGGUCACCCUGUGGUCACUCUAGGGCGUCACUUGGACACUGGGGACUCUCUGGGGUCACUCAGAAUUUUGGGGAUCCCCCUUUUGGGUCGCUCUGGGGGCGCUGGGGACACUCUGGGGGUCACUUGGACGUUUGGGGACCCCCCCCUGUGGUCACUCAGAUUUUGGGGGACCCCCCUGUGGUCACUCUGGGAUCGUCCUGGGGGUCACUCGGACUUUGGGAUGUCCUGAGGGUCACUCUGGGGUCGCCUGGGGGUCACUCAGACACUGGGGACACCCUGUGGUCACUCUGGGGUCACCUGGGGGUCACUCAGACACUGGGGACACCCCUGUGGUCACUCUGGGGACACUGGGGGCACCCUGUGGUCACUUCAGGGUCACUUUGGGAACGUCCUGGGGGUCACUCAGACAUGGGGGGGGCCCCUCUGGUCACCUGGGGUCGCCUGGGGGUCACUCAGACACUGGGGACACCCUGUGGUCACUCUGGGGUCACCUGGGGGUCACUCAGACACUGGGGACACCCCUGUGGUCACUCUGGGGACACUUUGGGGACACCCCUGUGGUCACUCGGACAUUGGGGACGCCUCGAGGGUCACUUUGGGGACAUCCUGGGGGUCGCUCGGACACUGGGGACACCCCUGUGGUCACUCUGGGGACACUGUGGUCACUUUGUGGUCACCCCUGUGGUCACUUGGACAUUGGGGAUAUUCCAGGGGUCACUCUGGGGUCAUCCCGAGGGUCACUCAGACAUUGGGGACACUCUGUGGUCACUUUGGGGUCACUCGGGUCACUGUAGGGGGUCACUCGGACACUGGGGACACCCUGUGGUCACUCUGGGGUCAUCCCGAGGGUCACUCGGACACCGGGCACAGCCCAGGGGUCACUCUGGGGACGUUGGGGACAUUCUGUGGUCACUCUGUGGUCACUCUGUGGUCACUCUGUGGUCACUCAGACAUUGGGGAUGUCCCUGUGGUCACUUUGGGGUCACCUUAGGGACAUUCUGUGGUCACUCUGUGGUCACUCUGGUCACUCAGCGGUCACUCAGCGGUCACUCAGUGGUCACUCUGGUCACUCAGGUGGUGGACAUCAUGCGGGUGAACGUGGACAAGGUCCUGGAGCGUGACCAGAAGCUGUCCUGGCACUGACCACUGACUGUGACCCUGUGGUCACUGUGGUCACUCCGUGCUCACUCUGGUCACUCCGUGGUCACUCAGCGGUCACUCAGCGGUCACUCAGUGGUCACUCUGGUCACUCAGGUGGUGGACAUCAUGCGGGUGAACGUGGACAAGGUCCUGGAGCGUGACCAGAAGCUGUCCUGGCACUGACCACUGACUGUGACCCUGUGGUCACUGUGGUCACUCCGUGCUCACUCUGGUCACUCCGUGGUCACUCAGCGGUCACUCAGCGGUCACUCAGUGGUCACUCUGGUCACUCAGGUAGUGGACAUCAUGCGGGUGAACGUGGACAAGGUCCUGGAGCGUGACCAGAAGCUGUCCUGGCACUGACCACUGACUGUGACCCUGUGGUCACUGUGGUCACUCCGUGCUCACUCUGGUCACUCCGUGGUCACUCAGCGGUCACUCAGCGGUCACUCAGUGGUCACUCUGGUCACUCAGGUAGUGGACAUCAUGCGGGUGAACGUGGACAAGGUCCUGGAGCGUGACCAGAAGCUGUCCUGGCACUGACCACUGACUGUGACCCUGUGGUCACUGUGGUCACUCCGUGCUCACUCUGGUCACUCCGUGGUCACUCAGCGGUCACUCAGCGGUCACUCAGUGGUCACUCUGGUCACUCAGGUAGUGGACAUCAUGCGGGUGAACGUGGACAAGGUCCUGGAGCGUGACCAGAAGCUGUCCUGGCACUGACCACUGACUGUGACCCUGUGGUCACUGUGGUCACUCCGUGCUCACUCUGGUCACUCCGUGGUCACUCAGCGGUCACUCAGCGGUCACUCAGUGGUCACUCUGGUCACUCAGGUAGUGGACAUCAUGCGGGUGAACGUGGACAAGGUCCUGGAGCGUGACCAGAAGCUGUCCUGGCACUGACCACUGACUGUGACCCUGUGGUCACUGUGGUCACUCCGUGCUCACUCUGGUCACUCCGUGGUCACUCAGCGGUCACUCAGCGGUCACUCAGUGGUCACUCUGGUCACUCAGGUAGUGGACAUCAUGCGGGUGAACGUGGACAAGGUCCUGGAGCGUGACCAGAAGCUGUCCUGGCACUGACCACUGACUGUGACCCUGUGGUCACUGUGGUCACUCCGUGCUCACUCUGGUCACUCCGUGGUCACUCAGCGGUCACUCAGCGGUCACUCAGUGGUCACUCUGGUCACUCAGGUAGUGGACAUCAUGCGGGUGAACGUGGACAAGGUCCUGGAGCGUGACCAGAAGCUGUCCUGGCACUGACCACUGACUGUGACCCUGUGGUCACUGUGGUCACUCCGUGCUCACUCUGGUCACUCCGUGGUCACUCAGCGGUCACUCAGCGGUCACUCAGUGGUCACUCUGGUCACUCAGGUAGUGGACAUCAUGCGGGUGAACGUGGACAAGGUCCUGGAGCGUGACCAGAAGCUGUCCUGGCACUGACCACUGACUGUGACCCUGUGGUCACUGUGGCAGAAUUUUGGGGAUCCCGCUUUUGGGUCGCUCUGGGGGCGCUGGGGACACUCUGGGGGUCACUUGGACGUUUGGGGACCCCCCCCUGUGGUCACUCAGAUUUUGGGGGACCCCCCUGUGGUCACUCUGGGAACGUCCUGGGGGUCACUCGGACUUUGGGAUGUCCUGAGGGUCACUCUGGGGUCGCCUGGGGGUCACUCAGACACUG